rnacentral:rRNA from 1 species
CGUGUAGGCGGGUCGCUAAGUCAGGGGUGAAAUGCCAAGGCUCAACCUUGGAACUGCCUUUGAUACUGGAGAUCUUGAGUCCGGGAGAGGUGAGUGGAACUGCGAGUGUAGAGGUGAAAUUCGUAGAUAUUCGCAAGAACACCAGUGGCGAAGGCGGCUCACUGGCCCGGAACUGACGCUGAGACGCGAAAGCGUGGGGAGCAAACAGGAUUAGAUACCCUGGUAGUCCACGCUGUAAACGAUGGAUGCUAGCCGUUGGGGAGCUUGCUCUUCAGUGGCGCCGCUAACGCUUUAAGCAUCCCGCCUGGGGAGUACGGUCGCAAGAUUAAA